rnacentral:tRNA from 1 species
UAGCUCAGUUGGUUGGAGCGUGAUGCUGAUAAUCUCAAAGUCGUGGGUUUGAUCCCCAU